rnacentral:lncRNA from 1 species
AACAGAGCCAAUUGCAUUUAUUUAUUCAUUUUGAGGAAUUGGCUCAUGUGAUUGCUGAGGAUGAGAAGUCCCAAGAUCUACCAUGGUGAGCUGGAGACCCAAGGGAGUCCAUGGUGAAGUUACGGUCUAAAAGUUGGCAGACUUGAAACCCAAGAAGAUCUGAUGUUUCAGUUUGAGUCCAAAAGCAGGAAAAGAUCAACAUCCCAGCUAAGAAACAACAUGGAGGUGUGGUCAGGUGCAAAAUGUUCAGAUGUCAAACUGCCCUAUUAAGGUCCAGACUCUAUAACUUACCUGCUGGGAAAUCUUAGGAAAGGAUACAGAUGAAAAUGAGCCAAGAGAAGAAGUGGACAGAGCAGGGUCCAGGUGGGCACCAAAUGUGGAGCUUCUGUUGUCUUCCUGCCAUGGAGUCAUGAAUGCAUUACUCUCACAGCAUCAGUGUGUGGCAAUAUGUGCG